CCUACGGGAGGCAGCAGUGGGGAAUUUUGGACAAUGGGCGCAAGCCUGAUCCAGCAAUGCCGCGUGAGUGAAGAAGGCCUUCGGGUUGUAAAGCUCUUUUGUCAGGGAAGAAACGGCAGUUUCUAAUACAGAUUGCUAAUGACGGUACCUGAAGAAUAAGCACCGGCUAACUACGUGCCAGCAGCCGCGGUAAUACGUAGGGUGCAAGCGUUAAUCGGAAUUACUGGGCGUAAAGCGUGCGCAGGCGGUUUUGUAAGUUUGUCGUGAAAUCCCCGGGCUCAACCUGGGAAUGGCGAUGAAGACUGCAAGGCUAGAAUCUGGCAGAGGGGGGUAGAAUUCCACGUGUAGCAGUGAAAUGCGUAGAGAUGUGGAGGAACACCGAUGGCGAAGGCAGCCCCCUGGGUCAAGAUUGACGCUCAUGCACGAAAGCGUGGGGAGCAAACAGGAUUAGAUACCCUGGUAGUCCACGCCCUAAAACGAUGUCUACUAGUUGUUCGGUUUUAAUUAACUUGGUAACGCAGCUAACGCGUGAAGUAGACCGCCGUGGGGAGGUACGGUCGGUCGAGAAGUUAAACGUUAAAAGUUAAAGUUAGUACGGCGUUGAGACGUUGCCGACGGACGACGACGAGGGAGGAGG
rnacentral:rRNA from 1 species